CCUUGACCUACUAAAUAGCUCUACUUGCGAUUGCAGGUAGCUAGCUUCUUAGAGGGACUAUCUAUUACAAGUAGAUGGAAGUUCGAGGCAAUAACAGGUCUGUGAUGCCCUUAGACGUUCUGGGCCGCACGCGCGCUACACUGACGGAGCCAGCGAGUCGACCAAGCCCGAGAGGGCUAGGUAAUCUUGUGAAACUCCGUCGUGCUGGGGAUAGAGCAUUGCAAUUAUUGCUCUUCAACGAGGAAUUCCUAGUAAGCGCAAGUCAUCAGCUUGCGUUGAUUACGUCCCUGCCCUUUGUACACACCGCCCGUCGCUACUACCGAUUGAAUGGUUUAGUGAGACCUUGGGAGGGCGAGAUGAGGGGGGCAACCCCUUCUGAACAUCCAAACUUGGUCAAACUUGAUUAUUUAGAGGAAGUAAAAGUCG
rnacentral:rRNA from 1 species